GUGUGGUGAGAGUGAUACUAAGAGUUUAUUAAAGGUGAGUGAAAGGAGUUACAAUAGGCCAUAAUAGUCAGGUGGAAGCCUGGGUCGGAGAGAGAGCUCUUUCUGUUACUGCACUAACCAGUGGGAAGGGAAAAACCAGAGCAGUUUUUGAUCACCAAUAAUUGGCAAGUUGGGGAGGUGUUUGGGUGGUCCCUGGGUUAGGGUGCUGAUUCAGGCUAGGACGUGAUCAAUAUUCAAGUUUCUAUCUGAGGGAUGAUGGAAGGCAAAAUCACUCGAAGGCUUUGUUUUAGAGUUUACAACAACAAAGGAUAGCACUGGGCUGAGAUAGGGAGUUUAGCGUGAAACAUGUGUCCUGGUCUGCCUCAAUACUAAUGCCGCUUUCUCUUUUCUCUUAAGAGCACUGCCUUCUCCAGGUCUGCUGCUUCUUGCUUGGAUGGUUCUAAAAGUGAUCACUGUUUGCUGGGGACUGUGCUAGGUCCUCCUCUGCAGACAUCGUAAAGGAUAAACUCACAAAACACCUCCCUCCCAGGACAAGGAGACGAAACACGGGAAAUGUCACUGCUUCCUGAAUGCCAGCGCUCCCUCCUCACAUCUCUCCUCUUGUGACCGUGGGAUUUUAGUCCACCCCUUUGAUUGUGGAUGCUGGUCUUUUCUGCUUUAGUGGAAGUGACAGUCAGAGCCCUUUGGGCAGAAGCAGGUAUUUUUGAGUAGGCGGCCUUGGUUCUAAGGUACAGGAUGUGACUCAGGGACCUACUGGCAGAAUCUGUCACUUGAAGGGUGUUCUCUAUCUACUUGUCAUCUGUGUUUACAGGGCAGAUUUCCAGCUGAACACAAACAGGUAGCAAUGAAGAGGUAACGUAGUGAUCUGUAAGGUUCAUGGCCCAGGGGAAGGGUUACCUAAUACCUAGAUGGAUUUUGAUUUUAGGCCUUUAAUGAGAUUCAUUUAAGGAAGCUCUGCUGGUAGAUGUUAUUCUGAUUUAUCUGCAUGAGCCAUGUAUAAUUA
rnacentral:lncRNA from 1 species